rnacentral:rRNA from 1 species
UUGGAGGGCAAGUCUGGUGCCAGCAGCCGCGGUAAUUCCAGCUCCAAUAGCGUAUAUUAAAGUUGUUGCAGUUAAAAAGCUCGUAGUUGAAUUUCGAGACCGGCUUACUGGUCGUGCUUAUUGUGCGUACUGGUAUAAUCGGUUUCUCCUUUCUGACGAACUAUAAUGCCAUUAAUUUGGUGUUAUAGGGAAUCAGGACUGUUACUUUGAAAAAAUUAGAGUGUUUAAAGCAGGCUCACGCUUGAAUACAUUAGCAUGGAAUAACGGAAUAGGACGUUUGAUUCUAUUUUGUUGGUUUCUAGGAUCGACGUAAUGAUUAAUAGGGAUAGUUGGGGGCAUUAGUAUUCAAUUGUCAGAGGUGAAAUUCUUGGAUUUAUUGAAGACUAACUACUGCGAAAGCAUUUGCCAAGGAUGUUUUCAUUAAUCAAGAACGAAAGUUAGGGGAUCGAAGACGAUCAGAUACCGUCGUAGUCUUAACCAUAAACUAUGCCGACUAGGGAUCGGAUGAUGUUAAUUUUUUAAUGACUCAUUCGGCGCCUUACGGGAAACCAAAGUGUUUGGGUUC